rnacentral:lncRNA from 1 species
UUCUAGAUUUUUGCUUUUCUUUUCUUUUUAUUUAAAAUGGAAUCAUUCACUUAUUUUCAAAUAUUUUAAUUUUGAAGGUAUGCUGAUUUUUUUUAGAUAAGAGAACCCAUACGGGUUUAGGGAUUGUGAUGGAUAUAGAACCCACAUAUGGGUUUAAGGAUAAUGUCGAAUAUAAAGAUAUAUUGUUUAAGAAGGUUCCUUAUAGAUAGGGAUAAUGAUUGGCAUGGGAAACCGAAACGGGUUUCGGGAUAUGUAAGGUAAUAUGCAAGCAUGACCUAGUUAAGGGAAGGUUCCUUAUGAUAGGUC